CUUGCGAAUAUCGACACAUCAUCCGCGUAUGCACUCACUUUGAUAUUAAGUUGUAAGGGAGACAUAGGAAUCGAGAAACCUUGUAGUAGUUUUCGGGUUAGGUUUAGGAAUGGUUCUAUGGCUAAUGAAAAAAGUGGACCUGACAAAGGGCACCCUUGCCGAAUACCGCUUGCAAUUCUGACAGCGCUAGUAAGUACCGAUCCUAUUCUAUAAUCGCUAAAUAUGUUUCGGUAUAACAGUUUCACCAUAUUCACAAAGGAUUCCCCAAGGUUCAUCUUCUUUAGUACAUAAAAUAGAUAUUGAUGAUCUAUAUUAUCAAAUGCGGCUUUUUGAUCUAGGUUUAUUAUCGCUAGCUCCCUGUUUUGGUGGUUUGCAUAGUGGAGCAACUCCCUGUGUAAGUGUAUUGCGUCAUACAUAGAUCUAUUGGGGAUGGAGUAACUUUGGUCUGCUGGUAUAAGUUUAUUAAUGACAUCAGAUAGUCUGGCGGAAACUGCCUUUGCUAUAAUUUUAUAAUCCGUGUUCAGUAUAAUAUAAAUACAAACGUGUUUAAGUAGAAAGUGCACACUCUUCUGUACGACACGACACGACAGAUGGACUACUUAAUAUGUACGUUUAUUGAUGCAUCUUUUCUGUUCAUUAUAAUAUUAUACAAGUACAAUGGAGAUACGCCACUGGUCAAGAAAUGCAAACAGCUGAUGUAAAUAAGAAUUAAAAACAGUUUUUGUGCACCGAGAAUAUGGCCGGCACACGAAAAUUUGUCUCAACGCGCAGCUUGCUCUUGAUAGUAUAAUUUAUCCAUAUAUGUAUAAUACAUAUAUGAAUUUAUCAGUCCCCUUUCUUUCAUAGUCUUCUAAGGUCAAGAUAUACCUACAGAUCUGGCUACGAGUAAAAAGUAAAAGGUCUAGUAGGGCGAUCACUUGAUAUACGAAAACACGUCCUACACGCGCAUGACGUCAGACUAGUUACAUUUGUGAUUUGGCGCGUAAACGCCGUAAACCGUUACCACCGUAAAUACACGUAAACCCGUAAAGAUUAAAUGGCAUACCCCGUUUUCGAAGUGUAUUCCGCAUUGUGGUGCAUAUUAUAAGGUGUACUUGAAUACUUGAUAGCCUGUAUUGCGAACUAGCGAACACUCGAAUAAUUGCGGUAGCGGAUAUCUUUUAUUCCUGCUUUUAUUCUACCGCGACGAUAUCGACGAUAAUGCCGGGCUGCGCGAUUGCAAAAUGCUACAAUUAUUCACGGAAUACGAAAGGUUCAGGUAUUAAAUAUUUCGGAUUCCCGAAAAAUGAAGAUUUGCGAAAGCAAUGGAUUGUAGCCUGUAAGAGGGAUGGUCACAUAAAUGUAAAGUUUGCGACAGUGUGCUCAAUUCAUUUCGAAGCUAAAUGUUUUGAAAUUCCAUUAAAAUACCGUCUUUUAAAUGAAAAUCCAAGCAAGUUUUGUCGGACACUAAAACUUGAUGCAGUGCCCACGUUAAAGCUUCCACAUGACCAAACAAGAACAGAGAAAAGUAUUUAACGAGAACUCAGAGAGGAAAAAGGAACUAGAAGCGACUAGUCAGAGAAAUACUCGCUAAUAAUAAUAAUAAUAAUAAAAGCGAG